rnacentral:rRNA from 1 species
UGGGGAAUAUUGGGCAAUGGGCGCAAGCCUGACCCAGCCACGCCGCGUGAGUGAUGAAGGCCUUCGGGUCGUAAAGCUCUGUGGGGAGGGACGAAAAAACGGUGGCUAAUAUCCACUGGACUGACGGUACCUCCUUAGCAAGCACCGGCUAACUCCGUGCCAGCAGCCGCGGUAAUACGGAGGGUGCAAACGUUGCUCGGAAUCAUUGGGCGUAAAGCGUACGUAGGCGGUCCAGCAAGUCGGGUGUGAAAUCCCUGGGCUUAACCGAGGAAGUGCAAACGAAACUACUGGACUUGAGUACUGAAGAGGGUCGCGGAAUUCCCGGUGUAGAGGUGAAAUUCGUAGAUAUCGGGAGGAACACCAGUGGCGAAGGCGGCGACCUGGGCAGAUACUGACGCUGAGGUACGAAAGCGUGGGGAGCAAACAGGAUUAGAUACCCCCGUAGUCC